rnacentral:rRNA from 1 species
CCUACGGGGCGCAGCAGUGGGGGAUAUUGCACAAUGGGGGAAACCCUGAUGCAGCGACGCCGCGUGAGCGAUGAAGUAUUUCGGUAUGUAAAGCUCUAUCAGCAGGGAAGAAAAUGACGGUACCUGACUAAGAAGCCCCGGCUAACUACGUGCCAGCAGCCGCGGUAAUACGUAGGGGGCAAGCGUUAUCCGGAUUUACUGGGUGUAAAGGGAGCGUAGAUGGCAGCGCAAGUCCGAAGUGAAAGCCCGGGGCCCAACCCCGGGACUGCUUUGGAAACUGUGAAGCUGGAGUGCGGGAGGGGCAG